UACGGAGGGUGCAAGCGUUAUCCGGAUUCACUGGGUUUAAAGGGUGCGUAGGUGGGCUAGUAAGUCAGUGGUGAAAUCUCCGGGCUUAACCUGGGAACUGCAUUUUAGACUGUGUGACUGGAGUACUGUAGAGGACAGUGGAAUUUCCGGUGUAGCGGUGAAAUGCGUAGAUAUGUGGAGGAAUACCGAUGGCGAAGGCAGCCCCCUGGGAUAACACUGACGCUCAUGCACGAAAGCGUGGGGAGCAAACAGG
rnacentral:rRNA from 1 species